GAUGAACGCUGGCGGCGUGCCUAAUACAUGCAAGUCGAGCGAACAGACGAGGAGCUUGCUCCUCUGACGUUAGCGGCGGACGGGUGAGUAACACGUGGAUAACCUACCUAUAAGACUGGGGUAACUUCGGGAAACCGGAGCUAAUACCGGAUAAUAUAUUGAACCGCAUGGUUCAAUAGUGAAAGACGGUUUUGCUGUCACUUAUAGAUGGAUCCGCGCCGCAUUAGCUAGUUGGUAAGGUAACGGCUUACCAAGGCGACGAUGCGUAGCCGACCUGAGAGGGUGAUCGGCCACACUGGAACUGAGACACGGUCCAGACUCCUACGGGAGGCAGCAGUAGGGAAUCUUCCGCAAUGGGCGAAAGCCUGACGGAGCAACGCCGCGUGAGCGAUGAAGGUCUUCGGAUCGUAAAACUCUGUUAUUAGGGAAGAACAAAUGUGUAAGUAACUAUGCACGUCUUGACGGUACCUAAUCAGAAAGCCACGGCUAACUACGUG
rnacentral:rRNA from 1 species